rnacentral:lncRNA from 1 species
AUGGCUAACUUGUCUUGUAAUUGUUUCCCUCUCAAGGAACCCAGAGAGUUAAUCAGCUGUGGUCUCCAUACCAGAUCUGAGAAAAGCAAUGAAGAAACCUUUCCUUUGUUACUUCCUUCCUUGGUGAUUGCCUGCCUUCUUCACCAAUAUACUGGAGUUACAGAAUGCGGUGAUAUGUACUUUACAAUGGGAUUAAAUAUGGCAACAUGGCUAGAUCUGCACAAAUCUGGAACUCUCGUUCUGUUUGUGCUAUAGA